AGAGAAGGCAGCACUACCAGCUAGGACAUCCACGUCAAAAGUCAGGUGGAGAAAGAGAGACAGUGAUGGGAAUGUACUCUAUGCAAGGCCAAGGUCACGCAGGAAUCAGUCAGAAAAAGCUGGUGAUCACACGCCUAAUCCUCCCUGCAACACUGCUGAUCAUGGCCCUAACUCUGCUUCAGAGACUGCUUCAAAGACCAUCUCUGCUGAAUGUCUUGUGCAAGAUCUACAGUACUCCUUGAGUGUCUCUGAUGAUGAGAUACAAGAAGCUGCAGUUGACCAGGGAGCUCCUCUGGCUUCUGUGGAUUGGAGCACUCGUAACGCUCUCUUUUUUGAGAGAUGGAGGGCAAAGAGACCUUACCUUGUAAAUAGCAUGCUGGCACAGGGGAACGUGGAAACAAAAAUCUGCAGUCAAUGUGGGAUCAACUGUGCAGCUGUCAGAUGCAGAGACUGCUUACCAUGUCCAUUCCUC